GACAGGGGCUCCCAGUGAGCCCUGAGGAACACUUGAGGUGAUCUAAGCACAAGUGAACACUCCUUGCCUGAAGCUUGAGGGAGGAGUCCAGCACCAAAUGCAGAAGCUAAGGGAGACCGACUUGAUCAAGGCAAGAUUGUUCUUGAGAAUAAUCGGAGGUCGGGGCUGGACACCAGGUGAAGAUGGGAAUCUGUUUGACCAGUAAAUCCCACCCCAUCCCCAAACACAUGACAGAGUAUGCACAUCAGCAUUAACUGACUUCCUGGAGUGAGGUGGCUGGCUUUUGACCCAGAGCCGGAGACUGUCAGCAGUGGGAGCUGUUCUCUUUAUUAAGUUCUACCUGAAAUGCUAAGACCAAUGAUAGAAUCAUGGGUUAGGUUAUUUUCUUGUCAUUUUUCUUGACUUUAAUUUCUUCCUGUGCCUGAUCGACAGGUAGUAUUGGCAAGGGAAUUUCUUUUUCCCUUUUUCUGACAGCUCAUAAAUGUCUAGGACUCACAACGCAGAUUACACUGGUUUGCAUUCCUUUAGUCUCCCAUCUUAAAAUGUGUGUCCUGCUCAUGUUCAGUCACAGAGUAAAGUGUUGAUCCCUCCUUAUUAUGAACUGCUUGGGUUCCAGUCCCAAUUGGUUUAGUCUGAUGCUAUGAAAAAUCUUGAUGUGUUUAGCAUAUGACACUGAUUUGGUGGAAACCAAUACAGUAGUAAUAUCCUCACAAUGCAUUGUAAUUUAUAGCGCUCCCAGGGGAUGACAGCCUUGUAAUGCCUAACAGGGGCAAGCUUUUCAGACGUCACAUGGGCUAACCAACACCAUCUUCAGGCCAGAAACUAGCUGCAGCUCCACUCCCAGCCCCAUCUCUCCUCUCUACACAGAGCAAAUAAAAUAGCUAUAGCUGCUGCGGCUAUAAAAACAAACAAAUAAAACCCAGGCCCCUUAGUUUUGUUUGGGGCCACACAUAAAAAUAAACUGAAAAACAAGUCCUGGUUACUUCAUCUGUAGUAUCCCACAUUAACCUGUCACUUCUCUUGGCAGGUAGGCAAUAGACAGUGGCCUGCAAACUCCUUUUUAAAAGCAAGAAUGGAGGUUUGUAGGAGAACAUUGGCCAAAGUUUACCUAAUAAUGACAUUAAUGCUGUAACUUUUAUUGGAUACCGUGCUAAGUGCUUUACUUGAAUUAUCUUAUUGAAUCGUACUCAUAACGGCCUGAUGAGGUAGGUACUGUUGUCCCCAUUUUACAGUCAGAGAAAACAGAAGCUCCAAGAGGUUAAGCCCCUUACUUAGAUAGAAUCAGGUAGCUGGUUAGUUUCUGAGCUAAGAUUUAGGCCAAGAUCUGUCUGAUUAAAAGCCUGUGCUUUAAUCCACAACAACAUACUGUUGGGAGUUGAGAAUAUUUAACUGCUUUCUUUUCUUCGUACUAAAUUCUUCUCUUCCCAGAAUGAUCUGAGUAGGGGCUGGUGGGAGCAGGACAGAGAUGGGCAGACAAGAACACCCCACUUGAACCACCAGGCUCUUUGAACAGCUGAUCUUUUUCUUAGCCAUCUCCAACCAUCUCCCCCACCCCACCCCUCUUGCAAAAUGCCGUUAUUAAUUUUUAAGUAUAAAUAAUCCCAGGGCCUGAUCUAACUUGUGUGUGUGCAUUCUAUGAAGUAAAAUGUGGACAGAGUUAUUGUGGCCAUAAAUGAGAAUAGUUUCCAUUUAUCCAGCUAAUCAUACAAAUUUACAAUUGGACAAACUGGUUUCCUGUUAGAUAAACCCCAAAAGUAAUUUACAGAGGAGGAAUUGCCAGUAGUUCAUGUGUCUAGGAUGGAGUUCUUCCCGUUGGUGUUAAUAAGCAUAGCAGGGUCAUGUUUUUUCCUAGCCUUGUAAUGCUGUGCCUUCCCACCCCCCACAAUGAAUGCUGUAUGUAUUCAUAGAGGAAAAUACUGAAGGGCCCCCAAACAAUGAUCGGAACAUCAAACCAGCCCCAGAAGAACACAGCGUGUGUGGGGUAGGGGAGCGGAGGCUGAAGGGCAGGCCAUCCCCCAGCGAUUACAUUUGGAUUACUGGCUUCAUCCGCUUUGGUAUUUGACCGCCAGCCUAACCACCCCAGGCUGCAUUGGGAGGAUAUUGAGCACUUUCAUCCCCAAGUACUUCACCGGCUUUAUAAAUGACCCACUUGAUUCCCUUCAGCCUCCUCAGGGAUGGGACAUGGCAGCUGUUUAAUAGCCACAUAGCAAUGUUGCAGUGUUUUAGGGCAGAAAAGAAGAAUCCUGCAUCCAGUUUAAGCUGCAGGGAGUAUUUAGGAAAGGGGAAUGUAAUUAUCCACAUUGGAAGUGAGCCAGGGCUGGGAGCUUUGGGGAAAAAGGCCUUUAGGACCUCCACUUCCCAGCCCACCUGAAGGAUGGGGCCUCCUUUCAGCAGGGACAUCAGCCUGCUUCCUGCUGAUUUAGGAAAAAAGCCCCCAGGCGCUGCCUCCAUAUAUUCUCUAUCAGACUCUUUACAGGGUCAUUGAAAGUCUCCUUUCCAAGGACUGGCCUUGGCUCAGCCGGGAAGGUAUGACAGCAUCCCAGGGAGCUGCCUUGCACACACCAGUUUGGGUUUAACAUAUAAUCAAAUCAGAGUGACAGCAGGUGGAAAACAGUCUUCUGUUGCCGCAGGAGUUGUCCUUGAGUUCAGAACAAAGACAGGACAAGAAAGACAAGACAAAUUGUGUGUUUGCACAUGUGCAUUCAAGUCUGUGUACAUGGGAAAAAUAGCAAGGACUUCACCAAAAUCAUUUGUUGUAUCUUAUAAGGGAAUGAGUAGGAAGACUUUAUUUUGCUUUCUGCCAAAGAAUUUAAUCCCAAGAUGUUAAAAAAAAAAAAAGG